AAAUCGAAUAUACCCCUACACUCUUCGAGUACCUGGUAUACAAAUUAAUUAAAUCAUUCAACUGCAGAGACCUGUUGCCAGCGAUAUUCGCCACGUACACACAUUAUUUCAUUAAUGUAUUAUAGAUUUUUAGUAUACGUCGAGAGAUAACUUAUACUAUAUAAUAUGUAUAUAAAAAUCAAAUCCAAUUAUAUCCGAUUCACAGUGUGACGAAAGAGUGCAUUGUGUUUUCCGACUUUUGGGGAUACCAAAUGUUACGAAUCUAAUUAAAAGAUUCAGAUAUUUAUAGUAACACCAAUGAAAAGGGUUUUUGAAUUAAACUGGCUGGUUCGAUUUGCAAGGGUACCAAAAGCUUCGACCACCAUUCGUUUUCAAUUUUUAUAUUUACACCUAGGUAUUUAUCCGUCUAUAACUUUUUAAGAAUCAGUAUUUCUUCAUUCUGGUAGUAGUUUUAAAGUGGAUGCCGGUGGCAUGCUUGAUAAUUUCGGUCGGUCGCUACAAAAUCGUGUCAUAUUCUAGCACCAGCAGACCACUGAUAAUAUUUAUGAGUACGCCCACACCCUGGCUGCUGGGGCUACCUCGUGGAGCAGAAGAGGGGCACUGACAAAGUGCAAGAGCCUUGCGACACGCUUUCUUUCAUCGCUUUCUCAUCACUCGGUUACGCAAGGUGCUAUUGGACGGUCGAAUGCCCCUGUCUGGAAUACAGCACGUGACUCCAACCCACAGUAUUGUUUUCAAGAACACACAUAAUAUGUACAUAUGUAUUUAGAAUGAUAUCUAUUUUAGUUUGAUAAUAAUCAAUGUUGAAGGCACACUGAAACACAGAAACACAUAUAUGCAGAUAUUCAUAUUCAUAUAAACAUUGGAUUGGAUCCAAAUUCAUAGAAAUGUGUUAACUAGCUGGAAUAAUUAAACUUUCGCACCCAAUCUAGUUUCCUUAUUAGGGAAGGGCACAGCUAGGAACGUUACCAGCAAAAGGUUUUCGUUCUUCUGGACUUCUGUGUCCACAAGAGUAACAUGCAGGGCUCUUCUCCGCGGCAGAAGAGUACAUGAUUACUAUGAGUACUAUUCCGAGCCGAAAAUUUUAGAAUGGUACUAAAAACUCAGAGACUAGAAACCGAAAAACGAGCAGUACAAUAUCUGCUCAACGUUUGUCUGAGUGUCGGAAGCAUCUGUUCUAAAUCAUAUCAGAGCGGACACAUAUUCGUACAUUAUAUUUAAUGUAACCCAAGUCACACUAUCCAAAAGAAAAUAAUUAGCAAGUGCACCAAAUAGCAUCAAGUACCAUUUGACCUCGCUAUCAGGUGCACGAGUAUUUGUCUUUUACAUUAAAAUGUAGCCAAGUAUUAUGCCUAUACAAAGCAUUUAUCCUAACUCAACAAAUGAGUGCAGCAAUUUGUUGGAAAAUUUAUUUAACUUGGGCCUGUGCAACUCUUUGUAAGCAGCCGGUUUCAAGAAUAGCUGAUUGGCGACAAUCAACUCAACUUAGUCCAGUAACGGUUGUGUGGACCUACUUAUGUAUCUUAAGAGUACUCUUAUAUGAAGCUCUUAGCUGCUUUUAAAAAGCCAGAAAAGGAAUCUUGCUAGUUUGGUUCUGCGGUGACUCUCUUCAGAUCGGGAAUACUCGUAAAAUGGAAGAAUACUAAACAUCAUAUAGUAUGUACAUACAAACGAAUCCAUUCGAAGAUUUGUCCGCCAGAGUCUGUAAAUGCUAGUAUUGUGCCUUUGGUUUCAGUUACUUUAUUGUCAUGGUCAUUCGCUCGUUAGUGUGGAGUAAUAGACAUUCGACUCGACUGUAUAUGCAUGAAGUAUUCACUUAACAAUGGGAAAACAGCGUAGCUACUGCCACUAUGAUGAGCGUCUAGCUAUGCUGAAGACCUUGAGUAACACAGGUAAUUCUGUCCGCUCACCAUUUGGCUUACGAAAUUAUCGAAUUUCAAAAUACAGUCAAUGAAAGAAAAACGAAACUACGCUUUACCGACGCGGAAAGUCGGAACGUAAAAACAUAGUAACAAAGAUGUAUGUAUGUAUCGAAAUCGAAAUGUAGAAAUACCCAAAAUUACGAUAAAUGUCCGCUUGAUAGUUGCAAUACUCUGUACACGAAUGGAAUGGUUGAUCUACUAUAGAAAACUUAUUAUUAAUGCAUUUACACCUUAGAUCCCAGUCUGACAAAAAUGUAUCAAAGUGCAAGGCAGUACUGGUUGCUAGUAGAUGAACAUGCGCAAUAAUAAAUCAAUUUAAUAACAA
rnacentral:sRNA from 1 species